UGUUAUUUGUAAAAUUUUUUAGAUUAUAUGGCAAGUGAUGUUAAAUAUUUUUAGACUUACUUUAAAUUUUUAGAUCUAAUUUAAAUAAUUAAAAAUUAAAAGCAAUUGACCAAUCAAAUUAUAACAAUUAUUUGAAACUUCACCUAUGAGCGACACGUCACCAGAAAUCACUAAAGUGACUUCUCAUUUAAUAUAUAAGGAUGAUCUUUAUCUCCGAACGGAAUAUCUAGUUUUAGGAUAUAAGGAAAGUAAAAAUAACCAGCCGAUCUAAUUUCAGUUCUUUUGGAUCAUCUUGUAACAUAUAAGGUUAUUGUUGAGAAAAUAGUAAAUGCUAAAAUUGGUAGCUAGUCUUAACCCACAUAUUUAAUCAUUCAACGUUACAUAUAUCAAAAACUAACCAGUCAAUUAUAAACAGUUUUUCGGAUCAUCCUGAUAAUAGUUUUCAAAGAAUUAUAUAUAUGUAUAUGUUCCACCUUUAAGGGUUUCUAUAAUAAACACACAAAACAUUUAUUUGCAGAGAAGAUUUACAAUGUCAUCAUCUAAAUUUGCUAUAUUUUGUAUUGUCCUCGUUUUUUUUACUCGUUUUCAUGAAUGUGCCAACCUGGAAAAAGCUUCCAAACCGACAUGCUCUAAUCCACAUCUUCUUUGGUGCUGCAGCUCAAAUAAACAAUGCCGAAGUUCCAAAUUGGAAUGUAAGAAGGUCUGUAUCAAGGGCCGUUGAAUUAUUCUGAAGAGAAUUUCUAAAAUUAUAUAAUUUAAAUAUUUCGAAGCAUUAUGUUCUAAAUAUUUUGGUAUUUCUUCGAAGAGCUCAAUAUAUAUAGUUCUUUUGCCUUUUUAUGAAAUUCUUAUAUAGUAUUUAGGAAGUUUAAAAUUUUAUAGAAAAAAUAAUACAACUAUUGUAGACUUUUUAACUGUAUUUAACGAUGUACAGGCUCGGUUUAUUGAAUAAAUUGAUAAUAAUAUAUAUAACGGAAAUACAAAAGAGAGUUUGUUAAUUAAUAGUAGAUAAAUUAAUGAGAUUUUGUCAAAUAUGACUCAAAAUUUGAAAUCAAACACAAAAAUGACUUGCUUUUCUAAAACUUUUAUUUGCCAUAUUCACCCUAAAAGUUCAAAUUAUAUACGGAAAUACCAUUAUUUUUUUAUUUUUUUUUUUGAAAAUGAGUGUUUUACUCAUUCAUCCUCAUCUUCCUCAUUUAUUUUAUAACAUUGCCAUUGUCAUCAAAACACCAACCACCAUGAACAACAAAUUUCAAGCUCUAAAUGCACCUAAAAUCAACAUAUACAUCUUCAUAUCCUCAUUUUUUACACAUACACUAUUUUCCUUUCAAUUUAUCUCUUAUUUCAUUCAAAUCCUAAUACAUGAUAAGACUUUUGAAGACUUCUCGAAGACUUCUCUUUAGGUUGGGAACCUAAAUUCUAGUACAUGAUAACACAUAAACUAUUUUCCUUUCACUUUAUCUUUUAUUUCAUCCAAAUAUCCUAAUACAUGAUAAGACUUUUGGACGACUUCUCGAAGACUUCUAGAAGACUUCGAUUUAGGCGGAAAAACAAAAAUCUACUAAAAUCUAGGUGUGAAACUUAAAUUUCUACUAAAAUUUAGGCAGGAACAUGUCAGAAAUAUUUUUGAGAAAACUUCUUGGGAAGUCUUCUGGAAGUCUUCCAAACACUAACCUAAUCAAAUAACUAAAUAGCAAAAACAAUUCAUUAAACUUAAAAUGAGCUUAUAAAGUGUUUAAUAUACACAAAACAUAACACAUGUAGGUCAACAAAAAAUUCUUAAAGUUAAAAUUCCAAAAUCUAACCCAACAUAUAAACAAUACUAUAACAUAUGUUACCAAACCCUAAACCAAAUACUACCUUGACUCAUUCUACAUUGACUUAUCUAUGUUGAAAACAAUUCUAUUUUGGUAAAUGUAAAAUUACAUCAUUUAGAAAUGUUUAUAAUUACAUUAUUUCAAUUUUUCUCCAUCAAAAUAUUUUUAUAAGAAAAUUAAAUUAUUUUAAAGAUCUUUGUACGAGAAGACUUACAGAAAAGACUUACAAAAAGUGUUCUAAUGGAAGACUUACAUAGAAGACUUACAAAUAAGAAUUCUCAGAGAAGACUUACAAAUAAGUCUUCUCAGAGAAGUUUUCUCACGCGGAAGGGUAUAAUGGUAAAACUAAAUACAAGUUUUUUGUUUGGUCAUAAAGGGGCUGUUGUAAUUUCACUAGUCAUUUGGAUUACUUUUACAUUUGAAUUUGGAGUAAACUUUUGUAUAUAAAAUCAAGUUUUGAGUCAUUUUUGGCAAACUCUCCUAAAUUAAUUACCACAAAUGUUAAUAAAUUUCAACUAGUCUUGGAUUGAUACGUUUCAAAAUAUGACACAAUUUUAUAAGACAAUAAGAUACUAUAUUGUAAAAAAAUCCAUAAUGGAGGAGGUCUUUCUCAAAUACAUUAAAAUUUUAAAUUAAUAAUUAAAACAUAAUUUUAGUAUAGAUGUAUAAAAGCCAUUUUAUUGUUUUUCAUAAUGACAAUAAAUCGUAUAACACUUGAAAACAUUUUGGUAUUACCUUAUUAUCUUUAAUCUAAAACAUACUUAUAUUAUAUAAUACAUAUUUAUACACAGCAAAUAUUAUAACUAGUACAAGAUGAAAGACAAAGUUUGGUUUACUUAAUAUAUUAACCAUGAAAAAUAAUAUUUUCUUAUAUAAAAUAAAAUGUUUUAAAAAUAUAUGAGUGUUAAAAAGGAAUUUUUGUUAAACUUAUAAUAUUUUAUAUUAACACCGUUAAUAAAAUUUCAGAAUUGUUACCGUAGAAUAAGUGAAAAGACAUGAUUAGUGUUUAUUAACUCAUAGGUGAGAUUGAAUUAUAAAUAUGAACAAGGUUAUAUUGAUGAGAAAUCUUUGGGCUGUUUUAACUUUAUGAUCAGUUGUCCAAUAAUGCUUACGAGCGGUCAAAUUGUUUACUUACUGGCAUAUGAUAAUGUGGACAACCAGUUUUAUUAAGUGAUUGUCAUGUAAAAAUAUGUCAUAUUGAUAACCAAUAAUAUUAAAAUAAUAAAAUGGCCCUUUUAGUGUUAAUUCAAAUUAGAUAUAUGAUUUUUACAAUCUUAUGUAUAUAUUUUAACUAGUAAAAGUUCAUAGCAUAUUUUGACUAUCAUAUAUAUUUCUCAAAUUGUUCAAAAUACAUAUAUAUAUAUAUAUAUAUAUAUAUAUAUAUAUAUAUAUAUAUAUAUUUCUCAAUAAAAUCUAUAGUUCGGGCUAGUAACCAUCACAUGAAUAUUGGGAAGGGAUAGAAAAAGAAUGGACCGUAAUAAAAUUAUAAGAAUGAGGAGAAACUAUUAUUUAUGAUAAGGAAGAACAAAUUUGUUCUAUACUAUUGGUUUUCCGGCGCUACGCGCCGGGUUCAUUUGUUUUAUUCUCUAAUGAAUUUAAAAUUGUUUUUGAUCCAUUUGACAUUGUUAAGAGACAGUAAUCUAUUAUUUUAUUUUGAAGUUAUUUAGGUCAAAGAGGAAUAAUAUACGUGGUUUUUAUAGAUUAAUACAAUAAAAAUAUAGUAAAUAGCUAAUAGUUGCACCAAAAUAAUUACAGUUGAACUUAAAAUAUAUAGUAAAGUCGAUGUUCCAAAAUGAAACACGUAAAUGCAUGUGUUUGUUUUGGUUUUUGAUUCUUUUACAUAGUUUCAGGUUUGUAUUAUGGUUAUGUGGAGUUCUAUUUUUUUUAUUUGUUUAAGUUGUGGGAUAGAUUUUGUGUGCCUAUGAACACUUUUUUAAAAAGUAGGAAGGUUGUGUUGUAUUUUAGAAUUUCCCACAUUUACGACUAUUAACGUUUAAUUCAGAGCUUCAAAUUAAAACUGGAGUCGUAAUUGGGAAGAAGUUAAAGUAAUGUUUUGAACUUUAUCCAGAAAUUAGAAAAGGUAUACGAAGACCAUGCGUGUAUAUACCUGGUGCUCAAAUAAUAACAACGAAUUUAGUCAUUUGUUUUUUACUGGUAGCAUGAAUGCCACGGAAUUCAGUGUUGUUAGGGUAACAUGAAACAUGUUAUUGUUGGUCUUUUACUCCUGUAAUUUGCCAAGUAAUAUUCAAGUUUGUUUGGUAGUCAUUGUUUCUGAAUAAUUCUAUAUCUGUGACAUGAUGUGUUCGUCACUGUGUUCUUGAUGAAAAAUUUAGAACAAAAGUUAAUGACAAAAAGGCUUAUCAAUUUCCAUGAUUUUCUAGUUUCUUUUAUUUCCUUGAUCUAAGCACAGAAAAGGUUUUCUAUGUUUGUUUUAUUUUAUUUUAACUAUAUUCUUAUUGUCUCCUCGAAUCAUAGAAAAGGUUUCUACGUUUGUUUUCUGUUGACGUACGUUUUUAUUUUUGACUAAAAGAUUUUUUUGUUAAUGUUCAAUAUUCUUGUAUUGCAGGUAUAGUUUGCUUUGAAUCUAAAUUUGUUGCUCGACUUCUAUAUGUGCCUUUCAAAUUUGAUAAUGUUUUUCACAUGUUCUCGAAUUCGGUUUUAUGUUUUAACGGGUUUUACAUAUUGAUAACAUAUUAAGUUGAACUUAAAUAUUAAUUAAUACAACAUAUUGAAAUAACUUAAUACUACUGGUAAAUUUAUUUAGGAUUCACAAAAAUUGUUAAAAUAUUGU